rnacentral:rRNA from 1 species
CAUAGCGACUAUCGUGGCAUAUCAAUAAGCGGAGGAAAAGAAACUAACAAGGAUUCCCUAGUAACGGCGAGUGAAGCGGGAAGAGCUCAAAUUUGAAAUCUUAAAGGUUUUCCCUUGCACGAAUUGUAGUUUAAAGAAGUGUUUUCUGUUGAAGUUUCGGUAAAAGUUCUUUGGAAUAGGACAUCAUAGAGGGUGAGAAUCCCGUAUUUGACCAUUAUUUUCAGCUGUGUGAUACACUUUCAAAGAGUCGGAUUGUUUGGGAAUGCAGUCCAAAAUGGGUGGUAAAUUUCAUCUAAAGCUAAAUAUUGGCGAGAGACCGAUAGCGAACAAGUACCGUGAGGGAAAGAUGAAAAGAACUUUGAAAAGAGAGUUAAACAGUACGUGAAAUUGUCAAAAGGGAAGCGUUUGACACCAGGUGUUGUUUUCUCGAAAAUCAAUUAAAAAGGAUGGGAUUUUGUGUUGUAUUGACCUUAUCAAGCUUUCUUCACUCUUUUCUUAGUCUUUUUUAAUGCACUUUUCGUUUAACAAGUCAACAUCAGUUUCUUUUGUUGUAAAAGAGUCAUUGGAAGGUGGCUUUUUCUUCGGAGAAAGUGUUUAUAGCCUUUGCUCUCUGCAAUCGGAGAGAUUGAGGUCUGCAGCGUAGACUCCUUCGGGGUUAGAUACAUUUGUGCUAAGCUAUAGUUCUUUAUAGACAACUUGUUGACUAUAAUCUAGUCCUGUAGCUUACUCGCUUAUGCUAUUUUACCUACGCUUAGGAUGUUGAUAUGCAUGACUGAUAU